CUAUUACCAUCGUACAACUACCAAACAUCUUCUCCAGUACGUAAAGUAAAACCCUAAUCCAACGAUUUCGCCCCCUUAAAACCCUUGACUUUGCACAGCGAGAGAGAGAGAGAGAGAGAGAGAGAGAGAGAGAUGGAGGGAGGUGGGAAGGGAAGUGGAGUAGUGCCAGAAGCAGUAAUGGAAGCAGUGAAGAGAACAACUCACAACAUGUCAGAAUUCAAGUCCCAAUUCGUUGAGUUCUUGUCUCUCUGCGACCCCGACGUGCUCGCUGAUUUGCCGCCUUUACAACGGGCCAAGUCUCUCCUUCUGCUCGCCAAGGCCACUACAACCCUUUUCACUUUGAGGUUGAGGUGCAAUGGAAUUCACCCAGAUGACCAUGCCGUGAAGUCAGAGAUUGAGAGAUUAAGCUUGUACCAAGACAAGCUGGAGCGGUUCAUCGAUUUGAGUAAAGCACCGCUUAGACCUUCCACUACCUUGAAUUACCAGGCUGCAACACGUUUCAUUGAGCAUUCAUUGCCCGAUCUUACCAGAGAUCAGAGGCAGAGUAUGAGGGAUAUAAGUAAAGGUGAGGGGCCAAAGAUGAAGUAUCUGGAGAGAAGUGUCCAUAAGAAGAGGAAAUGUCAGUCAUCUGAAAAGCAAUCUGUUCGAGCUGCUACCCAAGAAUUUCUUGAGAAAGCAGCCCGUGAGCUUCUUGGUGACAAUAGAACUGGUAUUAAAGGACCUUUGCAGCCCAAUACUUCAUAUGAACAUGACCAAUCGUCGGAUUGAAACUUGAUUUGAAGUCAAGCUCCUUCGGAAGCUUCAAACUGUUACUUUGUCUGGAAAGCACUUCAACGAUUAGGGAGAAGUGGCGAUUUGUAGAUGGUUCCUGUUUCUAAAGCAGAAGGAAAAACAUGGAGCAGACCAAAUUCCGCAGACAGAAUUUCUCAUGCCAUCGUCUUCGUUUUUUCUUCUUUCAAGGUUGCUCUUUUUGGUUGUUUAAUGGUUGUUUCUUAUUUAUUUCUGUUCGUAUUCUUUUUUUUAAUUUCCUGCAAGACACUUCUCUCUUUUUCUCAGGAGUUGAUAUCACUUACUGUGUAACACUAGAAGUGUAUUCGUAGCUUGUUUUUCAAGUUUUAAAUAUCCUGUUUUCUAGCUUCUGAAACCCAAUAGAGAUGUCGCAAGGUACAUGAGUAUUAUUGGAAUGUUACUGUCUGCUAAUUUCGGAUUGUA